rnacentral:rRNA from 1 species
GGGCUCACACAAGCGGUGGAGGAUGUGGCUUAAUUCGAGGCUACGCGAAGAACCUUAUCCUAGUCUUGACAUGCACGGAUUAACUCCUGGAAACAGGAGCCAGGCCUUCGGGUACAACGUGCACAGGUGCUGCAUGGCUGUCGUCAGCUCGUGUCGUGAGAUGUCGGGUUAAGUCCCUUAACGAGCGAAACCCUUGUCACUAGUUGCCAGCGCGUCAUGGCGGGGACUCUAGUGAGACUGCCGGUGUUAAACCGGAGGAAGGUGGGGAUGACGUCAAGUCCUCAUGGCCUUUAUGACUAGGGCUGCACACGUCCUACAAUGCCACGCACAAAGGGAAGCAAACUCGUGAGAGCGAGCAAAUCUCAAAAAACGUGGCCCAGUUCGGAUUGCAGGCUGCAACUCGCCUGCAUGAAGCCGGAAUCGCUAGUAAUCGCGGGUCAGCAUACCGCGGUGAAUGUGUUCCUGAGCCUU